AUUGAACGCUGGCGGCAGGCCUAACACAUGCAAGUCGAACGAGUGGCGGACGGGUGAGUAAUGUCUGGGAAAAUGCCUGAUGGAGGGGGAUAACUACUGGAAACGGUAGCUAAUACCGCAUACCCUCGGAUGUGCCCAGAUGGGAUGAGCUAGUAGGUGGGGUAAAGGCUCACCUAGGCGACGAUCCCUAGCUGGACUGAGAGGGUGACCGGCCACACUGGAACUGAGACACGGUCCAGACUCCUACGGGAGGCAGCAGUGGGGAAUAUUGCACAAUGGGCGCAAGCCUGAUGCAGCCAUGCCGCUUGUGUGAAGAAGGCCUUCGGUUUGUAAAGCACUGUCGUUGGUGAAGCGUUACCCGCAGAAGAAGCACCGGCUAACUCCGUGCCAGCAGCCGCGGUAAUUC
rnacentral:rRNA from 1 species